GGCGGGAUAGCUCAGUUGGUAGAGCACGCGACUGAAAAUCGCGGUGUCCCGGGUUCGAGUCCCGGUCCCGCCA
rnacentral:tRNA from 1 species